GACGAACGCUGGCGGCGUGCUUAACACAUGCAAGUCGAGCGGUAAGGCCCUUUCGGGGGUACACGAGCGGCGAACGGGUGAGUAACACGUGGGUGACCUGCCCUCAGCUCUGGGAUAAGCCUGGGAAACCGGGUCUAAUACCGGAUAUGACUCCAUGACGCAUGUUGUGGGGUGGAAAGCCUUGUGCGGCUGAGGAUGGGCCCGCGGCCUAUCAGCUUGUUGGUGGGGGAUGGCCUACCAAGGCGACGACGGGUAGCCGGCCUGAGAGGGCGACCGGCUACACUGGGACUGAGACACGGCCCAGACUCCUACGGGAGGCAGCAGUGGGGAAUCUUGCGCAAUGGGCGAAAGCCUGACGCAGCGACGCCGCGUGAGGGAUGACGGCCUGG
rnacentral:rRNA from 1 species